AGGCCUCGUCAUCCAGAGGAAGAUUGUCUGUACGUUAAUGCGAAACCAGUGGUUUCCUGUGAAGGUUAAAACUCUCAACCAGAACAAAGGAAAGAACAACAGAGAAGGAAGGUGGAGUCCAGCAGUAACGGAUGCUGCAGUUUAUUCUACGAUGUGGAUGCAGCUGCCAUGCAGGCUGCAGGCU